CGGUAGCAGAGGUGCUGCGAUACGCUGUGUAGUAUCAUAUCACAGUUCUUUGCUACCUCG
rnacentral:pre_miRNA from 1 species